UACGAAGGGGGCUAGCGUUGUUCGGAUUUACUGGGCGUAAAGCGCACGUAGGCGGAUCGUUAAGUCGGGGGUGAAAUCCUGGAGCUCAACUCCAGAACUGCCUUCGAUACUGGCGAUCUUGAGUCCGGAAGAGGUGAGUGGAACUCCUAGUGUAGAGGUGAAAUUCGUAGAUAUUCGCAAGAACACCAGUGGCGAAGGCGGCUCACUGGCCCGGUACUGACACUGAGGUGCGAAAGCGUGGGGAGCAAACAGG
rnacentral:rRNA from 1 species